rnacentral:misc_RNA from 1 species
GUUUCAGAAGUGUAUGAUUCCGCUGUUCCGGCGGAUUGCCCAUUGCCUCAAUAGUUCCCACUUUCAGGUGGCUGAGCGUGCUCUCUUAUUGUGGAACAACGAUCACGUCAUCAGCUUGGUAGCGCAAAACCGUCAAACAGUCGUGCCACUCGUUAUCCCAGCACUAGAGAGGAACGCCCGGAAACACUGGAACCAAGCUGUGAUGAACCUAACACUGAAUG